AUAUCACCAGUUCUCAUUUGUUCACCAAGGUUAAACAAUAUUGAGCUUGGUCAGUACCUAGAUGGAUGACCACUUGAGAAUAUCAGGUGCUGUAA